rnacentral:lncRNA from 1 species
UGUUUAUCCAUAGGGAAAAGGAUUUAUGUGUGGUGAAAUGAAGUUACACGAAUGGGAAAAUAAAUAUGGAUGGAGAGGUGAACAGGUUCUUCUAGCAACCCAAUAAAGAACAUUGAUUUGAGGGCGCACGGGGCUGUGAUAUGCUGCAACAUUGAAAUCAGAGGCCAUUAGGACAUUUUCCCAGAACAAAAUGUAUCCCAGAAGAAACAAUGCCACGUGGCUUGUCCUGGUGUGUUAUUUUCUCCUGAAUUGCAGGCUGCCUCCCCUGCAAAGCUCAUUCACUAUGGGACAGAACUUAGUGGACUUCAGAGACCAUCAAAUUGACAAUCAUGACUAACAAGAAAAUGAUCUGCAGCACUACCUGCCUGGCACAGGAUGAACAAGAACACAAGAUGGAUUGGGAAGCCGAGGUUGGGUUGUUGAGUUUCAGGUGUUCUUCAACCAGCAAGAAUAUAAGAAUCUUCUUUGU